CUUGGUCAUUUAGAGGAAGUAAAAGUCGUAACAAGGUCUCCGUUGGUGAACCAGCGGAGGGAUCAUUACCGAGUACUAUAACUCAUAACCCUUUGUGAACCUUUAUACCUGUUGCUUCGGCGGCGCGCCUCCCGGGGCGUGCCCGCCGGCAUUAUCAGAAUCUCUGUUCGAACCCGACGAUACAUCUGAGUGUUCUAAGCGAACUGUUAAAACUUUCAACAACGGAUCUCUUGGCUCCAGCAUCGAUGAAGAACGCAGCGAAACGCGAUAUGUAAUGUGAAUUGCAGAAUUCGGUGAAUCAUCGAAUCUUUGAACGCACAUGGCGCCUUCCAGUAUCCUGGGAGGCAUGCCUGUCCGAGCGUCGUUUCAACCCUCGAGCCCCCGUGGCCCGGCGUUGGGGAUCUGCCCAGGCAGUCCCCGAAAACCAGUGGCGGACCCGUUGGGCCCUUCCUUUGCGUAGUAACAUCUGCCUCGCAUCGGGAGCCUGCGGGCUAUCCGGCCUCUAAACCCCCCUCAAGCCCGCUCCGGCGGCACCAAGGUUGACCUCGGAUCAGGUAGGAAUACCCGCUGAACUUAAGCAUAUCAAUAAGCGGAGGAAAAGAAACCAACAGGGAUUGCCUCAGUAACGGCGAGUGAAGCGGCAACAGCUCAAAUUUGAAAUCUGGCUCCUUCGGGGCCCGAGUUGUAAUUUGCAGAGGAUGCUUCGGGUACGGGUUCCUUCCGAGUUCCCUGGAACGGGACGCCAUAGAGGGUGAGAGCCCCGUCUGGUAGGACACCCAGCCCGUGUGAAGCUCCCUCGACGAGUCGAGUUGUUUGGGAAU
rnacentral:sRNA from 1 species